AUUGAACGCUGGCGGCAGGCCUAACACAUGCAAGUCGAGCGGAUGAAGGGAGCUUGUUUCUGGAUUCAGCGGCGGACGGGUGAGUAAUGCCUAGGAAUCUGCCUGGUAGUGGGGGAUAACGUCCGGAAACGGGCGCUACUACUGCAUACGUCGUGAGGGAGAAAGUGGGGAUCUUCGGACCUCACGCUAUCAGAUGAGCCUAGGUCGGAUUAGCUAGUUGGUGGGGUAAGGGCCUACCAAGGCGACGAUCCGUAACUGGUCGGAGAGGAUGGUCAGUCACACUGGAGCGGAGACACGGUCCAGACUCCUACGGUAGGCAGCAGUGGGGAAUAUUGGACAAUGGUCGAAAGCCUGAUCCAGCCAUGCCGCGUCUGUGAAGAAGGUCUUCGGAUUGUAAAGCACUUUAAGUUGGGAGGAAGGGCAGUAAGUUAAUACCUUGCUGUUUUGACGUUACCAACAGAAUAAGCACCGGCUAACUUCGUG
rnacentral:rRNA from 1 species